UGCCAGCCGCCGCGGUAAUACAGAGGGUGCGAGCGUUAAUCGGAAUGACUGGGCGUAAAGGGUGCGUAGGCUGUAUAAGAAGUCAGAUGUGAAAGUCUCGGGCUUAACCUGAGGAGUGCAUCUGAAACUAGUAUGCUGGAGUAGAGUAGAGGGUAGCGGAAUUUCCGGAGGAGCGGUGAAAUGCGUAGAUAUCGGAAAGAACACCGGAGGCGAAGGCGGCUACCUGGACUUAUACUGACACUGAGGCACGAGAGCGUGGGUAGCGAACAGGAUUAGAUA
rnacentral:rRNA from 1 species